rnacentral:rRNA from 1 species
AGUGAACGCUGGCGGUAGGCCUAACACAUGCAAGUCGAACGGCAGCACAGUAAGAGCUUGCUCUUACGGGUGGCGAGUGGCGGACGGGUGAGGAAUACAUCGGAAUCUACUUUUUCGUGGGGGAUAACGUAGGGAAACUUACGCUAAUACCGCAUACGACCUACGGGUGAAAGCAGGGGUUCUUCGGACCUUGCGCGAUUGAAUGAGCCGAUGUCGGAUUAGCUAGUUGGCGGGGUAAAGGCCCACCAAGGCGACGAUCCGUAGCUGGUCUGAGAGGAUGAUCAGCCACACUGGAACUGAGACACGGUCCAGACUCCUACGGGAGGCAGCAGUGGGGAAUAUUGGGCAAUGGGCGCAAGCCUGAUCCAGCCAUACCGCGUGGGUGAAGAAGGCCUUCGGGUUGUAAAGCCCUUUUGUUGGGAAAGAAAAGCAGCAGGUUAAUACCCCGCUGUUCUGACGGUACCCAAAGAAUAAGCACCGGCUAACUUCGUG